GAACUUGCAUAGGAUAGUCGAAGUCAACGGGGGCAAAACCAUGCAUUGGACUUGAUUCUGCUGAGUUCUCCCGUGAAGGCAUAAUUUCUUCAAGUUUCAGCUCGUCGCUCGGCUCAGGUUCCAUUCCUUGGUUUCUUAUUUCCGCUCUAAUCCAAUCUCUGAGGCAACUAGAACAUUCAAUGCAUUGCUUCCCAAUGAGUGUCGGUUGUCUCCAAGCUG
rnacentral:lncRNA from 1 species